UUAGAGUCUUUAGUGAUUAACCAUUAAAAAAUUUAAGAAUUAAUUCCUCUAAUUAAGAGAUUAUAGUUUAGAGGUCUUCACUAAUGGUAAAGUAAUAUUAUUAAAUUAAUUAGAUAUUGAUUAGUUUAUAUUAUUAAUAAAAUUAAUUGGAUUUUUACUAAUUUAUAAUUAAAUUAAUAAACUAUUGAUUAAUUAAUGUUAUUAGUUAAAUUAAUUAGAAUUUUUAUCAGCUUAUACUUAAAUUAUUUAGAUUGGA
rnacentral:lncRNA from 1 species